GCACUCGUAGCUCAGCUGGAUAGAGUAUUGCCCUCCGAAGGCAAGGGUCGUGGGUUCGAAUCCCGCCGAGUGCGCCA
rnacentral:tRNA from 3 species